UAGAUAGAGGCCAGUUGGUUUAGGGCAUAUAGCUGUUAACUAUAGAAUUGUGGGAUCGAAGCCCACCUGUCUAG
rnacentral:tRNA from 1 species